rnacentral:rRNA from 1 species
GAUGAACGCUGGCGUCGUGCUUAACACAUGCAAGUCGAACGAUGAUCCGGUGCUUGCGCCGGGGAUUAGUGGCGAACGGGUGAGUAACACGUGAGUAACCUGCCCUUGACUCUGGGAUAAGCCUGGGAAACUGGGUCUAAUACCGGAUAUGACUCCUCAUCGCAUGGUGGGGGGUGGAAAGCUUUUUGUGGUUUUGGAUGGACUCGCGGCCUAUCAGCUUGUUGGUGGGGUAAUGGCCUACCAAGGCGACGACGGGUAGCCGGCCUGAGAGGGUGACCGGCCACACUGGGACUGAGACACGGCCCAGACUCCUACGGGAGGCAGCAGUGGGGAAUAUUGCACAAUGGGCGAAAGCCUGAUGCAGCGACGCCGCGUGAGGGAUGACGGCCUUCGGGUUGUAAACCUCUUUCAGUAGGGAAGAAGCCCUCUUUGGGGGUGACGGUACUUGCAGAAGAAGNNCCGGCUAACUACGUG